rnacentral:lncRNA from 1 species
AGUGUUGGAAUAAAUGGCUUUAUUAGUCCAUAAUUACUUUGUAAUUAAUGGAAUUAAAUGGUAUAUUUGGAAUCUACAUUUUGAGUAGAUUAAUUUGGUAUAUUUACUUGUUCAAAUCUAUUAAGAAUUGAAUGAGUAAUUAAUGCCCAAAGAUAGCCAUUGAAGGUGGAAAUGUGGAGUGUCAUCCCACAUUGGAAAAAUAAAGAAGUUGAAAGCUAUUUAUAAAGUGCUCUCCACCAUAAAGGAACAAUCAAGUGUGCUCCUCUAUGGUGGACCUAUGGUGCACCCAAGUAGGUUUUGACUUAGCCUUUUAAGGCUAAAACUCGAUUCCUACGAGGAAGGUACGAAGCACCUUCCGAGUCCGAGGCCGAGCACGUGCACGUCGCACUUGUCGCAAUGGGCGCUUUGUAGGCACACUUUGCACUUCGCUCGUUCGCGUCGUCGCGAGGAGCAUUGAGGAGCCUUUAGUUUUGACAAAUGAAACGGUGGCUCGGGUGACGUGGCAACAUGGCUCGGCGGUUCGGUGACGUGGCAGGGUGGGCGGACACUGACGUGGCACAGGCGGUUCCAUGACAUGGCGGAUAAGGUCCGGGUGGCUCUGAACGGAUGAGGCUGGGCGGCUGCUUGGGCCGAACCAUUGCAAUGGUUCGGUCAUGGCACCCCUUGACCGAAUAGCUGUGAUGGUUCGGUCAAGGCCUUCUCCCAACAGACGCACCCUUCCACCGCACCCCUCUACAUACUAUAAAUAGGCCCUCCAGGAUGUGGUUCAAAUCAUUCCAUUCACAUCCUCUCCUAUCAUACUAGUUAGUGUUCAUACUCAAGUCCCGAGUAUCGAGCCGUUCGACCGGAUAACGAUCUCCUAGUGCUAAGGAAUCGUCUAUCGACCCUAUACCGUUGUAUCUUGGGGGCAAUUACUAUAGAUCCGCAAGCACAAGAGCGGAAGUAAUUUUGCCUUACGGAGAGAGAUUUAAUCUCGCCUCGGUUCUGCAUUAUUCUUUUAUCGUCAUCCUAUUUUCUACACUACCCAAAUAACAAUCGUAAGGCAAAAUUAGUGUGGAAAGAUGGCGACAGGAAGCAACACCAACAACAACAAUGUUCCGCCCAACAACAAUGCUCCACCAGUUCCGACCAACGUUCCACAUGCUCCAGCACCUGCUGCUGCCGAAAAGCCGGAAAAAUUCGCAGGUUCUGAAUUUAAACGUUGGCAGUCUAAGAUGCUGUUUUAUCUUACUACAUUGAAUAUGGCUCGUUUUGUGAAUGAAUCUCCUCCAACUGUGGGGGAAGACGAGACUGAUUCGCAACUGCGGAUAGCAUAUGAUGCAUGGCAUCAUAGCGACUUUCUGUGUCGCAACUAUAUUCUGAAUGGGCUAGACAACACUCUCUAUAAUGUUUACUCUAGCGCCAAGACGUCCAAGGAACUAUGGGACUCCUUGGAGACGAAGUACAAGGCAGAAGAUGCCGGCUUGAAGAAGUUCAUAGUCGGUCGUUUUCUAGACUUCAAAAUGGUCGAUAGCAAAACCGUUGUGGAGCAAGUGCAAGAAUUUCAACUGAUCCUGCACGACAUUCUUGCCGAAGGUAUGGAAUUGUCUGAAUCUUUUCAGGUGGCCGCGGUGAUAGAGAAAUUACCACCACAUUGGAAGGACUUCAAGAACUAUCUCAAGCACAAACGCAAGGAGAUGGGACUUGAAGACUUGAUCGUUCGCUUGAGAAUCGAAGAGGACAAUAGAAUCUCCGAAAACAAGACGAACAAAACUUCCAUGGAGGCAAAAGCAAACCUAGCCGAGUCUAGCAACAAGAAGAAACGCAAGUUCAAAGGCAAAAAUCCCGACUCAAAAGGUCAGAAGAGGAUCAAAGGAGAUUGCUUCAACUGCGGCAAACCCGGCCACAUGGCGAAAGAUUGUCGCAAACCGAAGAAAGACAAGCACAAUGGUCACCAUCAAGCCCACGUGACGGAGACAAAGUCUGUGCCCCUCGACUUAGGCGAACUUGACUUGUGUGCCGUCAUAGACGAGGUCAACAUGGUCGGGAGUCCAAAAGGAUGGUGGAUCGACACCGGUGCUACCCGGCAUAUCUGCGCCGACAAGACAAUGUUCUCCUCGUAUGAAGCUCUCUCCGGCGACAGAAAGCUGUAUAUGGGCAAUUCUACCUCAUCCUCUAUCAUCGGAGUUGGAACCAUUGUGCUCAAGAUGACGUCGGAACUCAAGAUAACCCUACAGAAGGUGCUGCAUGUUCCCGACAUUCGCAAGAACUUGAUCUCAGGAUCCGCUUUGUGCAACGCCGGAUUUAGACUAGUGUUUGAAGCAGGCAAAGUUGUAAUGACCAAGAAUGGUCACUAUAUAGGAAAAGGCUACCUAGAUAAUGGCCUUUUCAAGCUUAAUGCUAUCCCUGUACUUGUACGUGACAAUGAAAUAAAGAAAAAUGUUUCUUACUUGGUUGAGUCUCCUAAUUUAUGGCAUGAUAGAUUAGGACAUGCAAAUCUAAACACACUACGUCGUUUAGUAAAUUUAGACUUAUUGCCAAAGAUGUCUUUCAAUCAACAUCAAAAAUGUGAAAUUUGUGUUGAAGCAAAAAUGGCAAAAUCUCCUUUUCAUUCAGUGGAAAGAUCAACGAAACCUCUUGAAUUGAUUCACACCGAUCUAUGUGAUUUAAAACUUGUGCAAACAAGAGGUGGAAAGAAUUACUUUAUAACAUUUAUAGAUGAUUGCACAAGAUUUUGCUAUGUGUAUCUUUUGAGAAGCAAAGACGAAGCAUUCGAAGCUUUCAAAACAUACAAAAGUGAAGUUGAGAAUCAACUUAACACCAAGAUCAAAAUGAUUCGAAGUGAUCGAGGUGGCGAGUACGUUGCACCUUUUGAGGAAUUUUGUCGUGAAAAUGGCAUUAUUCAUCAAACGACUGCACCUUAUUCUCCACAAUCAAAUGGUGUUGCAGAACGAAAGAAUAGAACAUUGAAAGAAAUGAUGAAUGCUAUGUUGAUAAGCUCAGGCCUAUCACAUAACAUGUGGGGGGAAGCUAUUCUUUCGGCUAAUAAAAUUUUGAAUAAAUUACCCCAAAAGAAACAAGAAAAAACUCCAUAUGAAUUAUGGAAAGGAAGGAAGCCGUCCUAUAAAUAUACAAAAGUGUGGGGGUGCUUAGCAAAAGUUGAAGUACCUAAACCCAAACAAAUAAAAAUAGGACCAAAAACUGUUGAUUGCAUCUUCAUUGGAUAUGCAAACAAUAGUAGUGCGUACCGAUUCUUGGUACACAAAUCGGAAGCACCCGAUAUGAAUGAGGGAAUGAUUAUAGAAUCAAGAAAUGCCAUAUUCUUUGAAAAAAUAUUCCCUAAGAAAGAGAAGAAUGACAUAAGUUCGAAAAAGAGAACUUAUGAUGAAAUUUCGCUUAAAGAUAACGGACCAACACGUGAACUAACACCGCAACCAAGACGCGGAAAGCGAACAAAAACUGCGAAAACCUUUUGGUCCGGAUUUUGUAGUCUAUACUUUAGAAGACGAACCAAAGACAAUCAAGGAAGCAUUGUCUGGUCCUGAUGCCGAUCUAUGGCGUGAAGCUAUCAAUAGUGAAAUCGAGUCAAUCUUAUCCAAUCACACUUGGCAUAUUGUUGAUCUUCCUCCGGGAAAUAAACCUUUGGGUUGCAAGUGGAUUCUUAAGAAGAAAUAUAAAGCCGAUGGAUCUAUUGAUAAGUAUAAAGCACGUUUGGUAGUUAAAGGCUACAAACAAAAGGAAGGGUAUAAUUACUUUAAUACAUACUCUCCAGUCACUAGAAUUACAUCCAUUAGAAUGCUACUUGCUAUAGCCGCAUUAUAUAAUCUUGAGAUACACCAAAUGGAUGUAAAAAUAGCAUUUCUAAAUGGAGAUUUAGAAGAUGAGAUAUAUAUGGAACAACCCGAAGGGUUUGUGAUUCCCGGCCAAGAAAACAAAGUUUGUAAACUUGUCAAGUCUUUAUAUGGACUUAAACAAGCUCCCAAACAAUGGCAUGAGAAAUUUGACCAGCAAUGAUGUCAAAUGGAUUCAAAAUCAAUGAAUGUGAUAAAUGUGUGUACAUCAAAGGAACAUCCGACAACUUUGUCAUUGUCUGUCUCUACGUUGAUGAUAUGCUAAUUAUGGGUAGCAAUAAUAAAAUCAUCGUAGAAACUAAGGAAAUGUUAAAGAAGAACUUUGACAUGAAAGAUAUGGGAUUAGCGGAUGUGAUUCUAGGAAUUAAGAUCCUUAGAACACCCGAAGGAAUAGUCUUAUCACAAUCUCACUAUGUUGAGAAUGUGCUUAAGAAAUUCAAAGCUUUCGAUCUACCUCCAGCUAAAACACAUGUUGACUUAAGUAUACACUUAGCCAAAAAUCGAGGAGAACCCGUAUCACAAUCGGACUAUGCUAGAAUUAUUGGAAGCCUAAUGUACUUAUCAAAUUGUACAAGGCCAGACAUAGCAUAUUCUAUUAGCAAAUUGAGUUGGUUUACAAGUAAUCCUGAAAAGGAUCAUUGGACCGCAUUGAUAAGAGUGUUGAGAUACUUAAAACACACAAUAUCUCAUAGUAUACACUAUUCGAGAUAUCCCGCAGUUUUGGAAGGGUAUUGUGAUGCCAAUUGGAUAUCCGACACUAAAGACUCUAAAUCCACAAGUGGGUUUGUAUUUACCAUUGGCGGAGGAGCAAUAUCAUGGAAGUCUUCUAAGCAAACUUGUAUAGCCCGAUCAACAAUGGAAUCAGAAUUUAUUGCUUUAGACAAAGCCGGCGAAGAAGCCGAAUGGUUAAGAAACUUCUUAGAAGAUAUUCCCUGUUGGGAAAAACCUUUACCUCCUGUUAUGAUACAUUGCGAUAGCAUGGCUGCCAUAGGGAGAGCAAAGAAUAGUUUGUAUAACGGUAAAUCUCGACAUAUUCGUCGAAGAUAUUUGAUCUAUUAUUGUGUGUAUGUUGUUGACUUGGUUUACACAAAAGUUGACCGUUCAAGACAUCGCGUUCACCGAGCAACGAGUAAAUCCGAUGGCAUUACACUAAGGAAGGUUCAAAACUAACAACUACCUAUCCUGAUGCAAUAAUAGGUCGUCGGGACUUAGUUUUUUGCAUUUGCAUUAAUCAUCAUUCAUGUGGGGGAUUGUUGGAUUAUAUAGCUUAUUUAAUGCCAUAAUUACUUUGGUAAUUAAUGGAAUUAAAUGAUAUUUUUGGAAUCUACAUGUUGAGUAGAUUAAUUUGAUAUAUUUACUUGUUCAAAUCUGUAAAGAAUUGAAUGAGUAAUUAAUGCCCAAAGAUAUCCAUGGUUCGAACCACCUGUUUGCCCAAACAGUGCACGUGGUGACGGUUAAGGACCGAAGAGACACGACGGUUCGGACCACCUGUUUGCCCAAACCGACGCGGCAGCGGUUGAGGACCGAAGAGACACGAUGGUUCGGAUCUGUUUGUCCUAACAGGGCACGUGGCGACAGUUCAAGACCGAAGAGACACGCCAGUUCAGACCUCAUGUUUGGCCAAACAGUCACGUCAGUUCAAGGAAACCCCUGGACUACUAUAAAUAGGGCCCUCCAGAAUGAGAUUAAACACACCAACGAAUUCACAUAAUUAAUUUGUCAAAUUAGUUUAGUUUACAUACUCAGUCCCGAGUAUCAAGCCGUUCGACCGAAUAGCGAACUCCUAGUGCUAAGGACUCGUCUAUCAUCCCUAAACCGUUGUAUCUUGGGGGCAAUUACUGUAGAUCCGCAAGCACAGAGCGGAAGUAUUUUUUCCUUACGGAGAGAGAAUUUAUUCUCGCCUCGGUUCUGCAUCCUUACAUUUAUCGUCAUUCUAUUUCCUACACUACCAGAUAACAAUAAUUACUCCCUCCGUCCCACUGACAAACAUGGUUUUCAUACCCCAAUUCCACAUGAAUUGUUGUCAUUUUCCUUCAUGUUUUGCUUGUGAGUGCUUGUUUGUACCUUAAUGUUAUGCUUUAUUGAGAUUUGAUGCUUAGUAUAGAUUUUGGAGUGUUUUCAGGAAAAAUAAAGGACUAAUUGGAGGAUUUUGAAGAUAUAAGAUUAAAUUACGUCUCGAGAGGAAUUCGUGAGCGCGAACGGCGACCAAAUCCGAGUCCGGACGAGGGAGAACGGAGCAAAACGAGCAGACUGCGCAAAGAGCCCAGUAGCCCGCGGUCACCACCGCGGCCACGGGGAGGGACCGCGGCAAACUCGCCCUCGACGCCAGAGGACCCCCGCGGUCACCACCCGCGGCCGCGGGGUGGGACCGCGGGUUCCCUGCCAUUUUCCCACGUUUCCUAGCCGCGGUCACGGGCUGUGACCGCGGGAAAAAGGCGGGGCUCCCCCCAAGUGGACCCCAGACGCGAAUUUGAGCUCUAAAACUCAUUUUUCCCCCCAUUCUUCAUAUCCAUCAUCUUUCCCACACAUUUUCAUCUUCCCCAACACUCCAAUUCCAAACCCUAGCCUCCAUUUCUACCAUUUUUUCUCUUCCAUACAUUAGAACAACACCAGAAUCAAAGAAAGAAUGGGAAGACUUGGAAAGGAGCUCAUCAAGACUACAUGAUUGAAGAUCAAGAUUAUAGGAUUUGUCUAUGAAUCUCUAUCUCUCUAUAUCUUUAUUUAUGUUUUCUUAUGACUUGAGAUUUGCUUUUAUUAUGAAUAUGCUUGGCUAAAAUCUCUUAUCUUAGGGAUUAGAUUAGAUGGAUUUGUAAUGGAUUGAUUUCUUUGUUUAAUAUAUAUCUUGAUUGUGCUUAAUUGUUAUCUUUUCAAGUCCUAGAUUUAUCUCUUGUAUGAUUGGUUGGCCACCUUUUGUGCAUUUCUAAUUUGUGAUUUGAAUCGGGAGAUGAUAAUUACAAUAGAUUAGGAGUUUGAUACAUAUCAUCUCAAUAAACCGGGAGGUUGAGAGUUGGGUGAGGGCUUGUUGAUCUUUUGUGCUCUUGGGAGUUAUAGGUUAGAAAUUGACCGGGGACGGCAAUUAUGACCCGUAAUCUACUGUUUUAAUCGUUCGGGAGGGGGCUAAAACUAGUGGAGAGAUCGUCCUAGAUAAGUAGGCCAUAUCAAGAUUUAUAUUGAUUUAGAUUGAAGUUCAUUACGAUCCAUCGAAAUCUAGUCCCUAGGAUAACUUUCCUUCGAGUCAUUCCCCAAUUUAUUAACUAGUUUUUAUUAUUGUUAUUUAGUUUGCUUGCUUUAAUUUAACUUUGAUUUAACCUUCAAUCUCUUCAUCUUUAGUUGUCUAAAUAGAUUGAAAACAACUUAUUAAUAGUAUUUAGAAGUUUGAAUUCAUCAAUCCUUGUGGGAUACGACCUUGCUUCCACUUAUUGCAACUACACCGUAUACUUGCGGCGUGGUGAAAAUAAUAGCGAACAAGUUUUUGGCGCCGUUGCCGGGGAUUGGUUGAGUUUUUACUUUUGAUAUUAUGUAAUGUUUCUUUUGUCUAAUUUAGAUAUUUUUUUAUAUAUUAGUUUAUUUAUAUGUUUAUUUACUUUUGUUAGAAAAAAUUGCCGCACAACCGAAGAAGCGGCACCAAAAAAAUUAAAUGGAUGAUGGAAGGAAUGAGUUGGUUGAGGAACUCCAACUACAAUUGGCGAUGAUGCAACUUAAGUUGCGUGUUUUAGAAGCCAAANUUAAAGAUAAACUUUGACAUGAAAGAUAUGGGAUUAGCUGACGUGAUUCUAGGAAUUAAAAUCCUUAGAACACCCGAGGGAAUAGUCUUAUCACAAUCUCACUAUGUUGAGAAUGUACUUAAGAAAUUCAAAGCUUUUGAUCUGCCUCCGGCUAAAACACCUGUUGACUUAAGUAUACACUUAGCCAAAAAUCGAGGAGAACCCGUAUCACAAUCGGACUAUGCUAGAAUUAUUGGAAGCCUAAUGUACUUAUCAAAUUGUACAAGGCCGGACAUAGCACAUUCUAUUAGCAAAUUGAGUCGGUUUACAAGUAAUCCAGGAAAAGAUCAUUGGACCGCAUUAAUAAGAGUGUUGAGAUACUUAAAACACACAAUAUCUCAUAGUAUACACUAUUCGAGAUAUCCCGCAGGUUUUGGAAGGGUAUUGUGAUGCCAAUUGGAUAUCCGACACUAAAGACUCUAAAUCCACAAGUGGGUUUGUAUUUACCAUUGGUGGAGGAGCAAUAUCAUGGAAAUCUUCUAAGCAAACAUGUAUAGCCCGAUCUACAAUGGAAUCGGAAUUUAUUGCUUUAGACAAAGCCGGCGAAGAAGCCGAAUGGUUAAGAAACUUCUUAGAAGAUAUUCCCUGUUGGGAAAAACCUUUGCCUCCUGUUAUGAUACAUUGCGAUAGCAUGGCUGCCAUAGGGAGAGCAAAGAAUAGUUUGUAUAACGGUAAAUCUCGACACAUUCGUCGAAGACAUAAUACCGUUAGACAAUUGAUCACUACAGGAAUAAUGUGCAUUGACUAUGUAAAGUCAAAAGACAAUAUUGCGGAUCCGUUUACUAAAGGUAUUAAUCGUGAUCAAUUGUAUAACGCAGUGAGGGGAAUGGGAUUAAAAUCCACACGUUAAGAACUUUCAUAGUGGUAACUCAACCAUGAUGACUGGAGAUCCCAAGAACAUGGUUCAAUGAGACAACUAAAUUAUGGAAGUUCAAGUUGAGCACUUGAAACUUUCAAAAUCCAUUCUCAUAGCUGCUCAAGUGCAAAGCCUGCAGCUUGUGGUAAAGGGUAAGCCAUCAAAAGCUUUUAAUGAUUCCUAUAGCCUUAUUAGGUGGAGUAUGGCAGGAUACUCUUUAUAGGAGAUCACCUAUACAAGUGAAGAAGUGGGGCCGCUUCAAAUUAUCAAUAACACUUGUGAAUCCAAGAAAUGGUCCAAGGCCGAAAUGGACACAACGUGAGAACGAAAGAUAUUAGAUCUAUUAUUGUGUGUAUGUUGUUGACUAGGUUUACACAAAAGUUGACCGGUUCAAGACACCAUGGUUCACCGAGCAACGAGUAAAUCCGAUGGCAAUACACUAAGGAAGGUUCAAAGCUAACAACUACCUAUCCUAAUGCAAUAAUGGAUCGUCGGGACUUAGUUUUUUGCAUUUGCAUUAAUCAUCAUUCAUGUGGGGGAUUGUUGGAAUAAAUGGCUUUAUUAGUCCAUAAUUACUUUGUAAUUAAUGGAAUUAAAUGGUAUAUUUGGAAUCUACAUUUUGAGUAGAUUAAUUUGGUAUAUUUACUUGUUCAAAUCUAUUAAGAAUUGAAUGAGUAAUUAAUGCCCAAAGAUAGCCAUUGAAGAUGGAAAUGUGGAGUGUCAUCCCACAUUGGAAAAUUAAGGAAGUGUAAAGCUAUUUAUAAAGUGCUCUCCACCAUAAAGGAACAAUCAAGUGUGCUCCUCUAUGGUGGACCUAUGGUGCACCCAAGUGGGUUUUGACUUAGCCUUUUAAGGCUAAAACUCGAUUCCUACGAGGAAGGUGCGAAGCACCUUCCGAGUCCGAGUCCGAGGCCGAGGCCGAGCACGUGCACGUCGCACUUGUCGCAAUGGGCGCUUUGUAGGCGCACUUUGCACUUCGCUCGUUCGCGUCGUCGCGAGGAGCAUUGAGGAGCCUUUAGUUUUGACAAAUGAAACGGUGGCUCGGGUGACGUGGCAACAUGGCUCGGCGGUUCGGUGACGUGGCAGGGUGGGCGGACGCUGACGUGGCACAGGCGGUUCCAUGACAUGGCGGAUAAGGUCCGGGUGGCUCUGAACGGAUGAGGCUGGGCGGCUGCUUGGGCCGAACCAUUGCAAUGGUUCGGUCAUGGCACCCCUUGACCGAAUGGCUGUGAUGGUUCGGUCAAGGCCUUCUCCCAACAGACGCACCCCUCCACCGCACCCCUCUACAUACUAUAAAUAGGCCCUCCAGGAUGUGGUUCAAAUCAUUCCAUUCACAUCAUCUCCUAUCAUACUAGUUAGUGUUCAUACUCAAGUCCCGAGUAUCGAGCCGUUCGACCGGAUAACGAUCUCCUAGUGCUAAGGAAUCGUCUAUCGACCCUAUACCGUUGUAUCUUGGGGGCAAUUACUAUAGAUCCGCAAGCACAAGAGCGGAAGUAAUUUUGCCUUACGGAGAGAGAUUUUAUCUCGCCUCGGUUCUGCAUUAAUUCUUUUAUCGUCAUCCUAUUUUCUACACUACCCAAAUAACAGGUAACCCUAAGAAUCCGGAGAUGAAGGAGACGGAAGAGAAAGCAGAGAUGCACACGAAUUCGUAGGAUUCCGCGUUGUGGAUUUGAGCCACGUCUUGAACCACGAAAGACAUCCAAGCGUCGUGAACGACCACGACCCUUGCGAAUUUUCCCGCCAUUUCCCUCAAGUAGGCGGCAAAGGGGCGGCGGAGGUCAAGCGUCGCCUCCGCGGCUGGCAGGAGCUGUGUAGGGAAUUUGUCGGUGGAGUUGGGGUUGGGCGGAGGAGAGAGAAAGGAUGGGGUGGGGAAGUCGUGGAAGUGGAUCUUCGCGACGACGUCGUGUAGGGCGUUGAUGCGGACUUGGGCUUGGCGGUUGUGGAGGGCGGAGCCCGCGUAGUAGACGGGGAGGCCGUAGGAAGAGAUGAGGGAGGAGAGCUGCAGCAUUUGGUUGAGGUGGCCUUGUGCCGGAAAUGGCACCGCCACGACGGCGACCGGAGCUAGUUUGGUGGCGGUGGGCUGGCGGUGGUGAUUGCUCAUGAUCACGUAUGUGUGUUUUGAUAAAUUUGUGUCUUGAUUGAGCGAUAGACUUAAGCAUGAGAUGAUAAAUAAGUUUAUAUAUAUAUAUAGAGAGAGA